GACGAACGCUGGCGGCGUGCCUAAUACAUGCAAGUUGAGCGCUGAAGGUUGGUACUUGUACCGACUGGAUGAGCAGCGAACGGGUGAGUAACGCGUGGGGAAUCUGCCUUUGAGCGGGGGACAACAUUUGGAAACGAAUGCUAAUACCGCAUAAAAACUUUAAACACAAGUUUUAAGUUUGAAAGAUGCAAUUGCAUCACUCAAAGAUGAUCCCGCGUUGUAUUAGCUAGUUGGUGAGGUAAAGGCUCACCAAGGCGAUGAUACAUAGCCGACCUGAGAGGGUGAUCGGCCACAUUGGGACUGAGACACGGCCCAAACUCCUACGGGAGGCAGCAGUAGGGAAUCUUCGGCAAUGGACGAAAGUCUGACCGAGCAACGCCGCGUGAGUGAAGAAGGUUUUCGGAUCGUAAAACUCUGUUGGUAGAGAAGAACGUUGGUGAGAGUGGAAAGCUCAUCAAGUGACGGUAACUACCCAGAAAGGGACGGCUA
rnacentral:rRNA from 1 species